rnacentral:rRNA from 1 species
CCUACGGGAGGCAGUAGUGGGGAAUAUUGCACAAUGGGGGAAACCCUGAUGCAGCGACGCCGCGUGAGUGAAGAGGUAUUUCGGUACGUAAAGCUCUAUCAGCAGGGAAGAAAAUGACGGUACCUGACUAAGAAGCCCCGGCUAACUACGUGCCAGCAGCCGCGGUAAUACGUAGGGGGCAAGCGUUAUCCGGAUUUACUGGGUGUAAAGGGAGCGUAGACGGCAGCGCAAGUCUGGAGUGAAAUCCCAUGGCUUAACCAUGGAACUGCUUUGGAAACUGUGCAGCUAGAGUGCAGGAGAGGUAAGCGGAAUUCCUAGUGUAGCGGUGAAAUGCGUAGAUAUUAGGAGGAACACCAGUGGCGAAGGCGGCUUACUGGACUGUAACUGACGUUGAGGCUCGAAAGCGUGGGGAGCAAACAGGAUUAGAAACCCUUGUAGUC